CGGGGAAAUGAGAGACAGAGACUCGACAACAGACUUUGUGGGGGAAGGGGAUACUCCUCAGACAUCUAGUCCUGCACAAGUCGGCAUCGGGAGGGUUUGGCCGGUUUGGAAUUCAUGGCCUCUAUUACACCAUUAAUGGAGUGUCCCCUUCCCUCUUUCCCCUUGAGACAAACCAAUUGCCAAUUCUCUUGUCGUGGCGUGGAAUUUAGAGCAGCUUCGUCGCAGCUCGUGGGCCGUGGUUUGCGCUGAAUCAUCAUAUUUUCGUUUCGUCGCAGUGUUGAGACGGUGUUUGGAACGUUAGACACAGUCAUUGUAGGAGCCACGAUUCGUUGAGGAGCGUGGGAGAGUGGUGAACGAGGAGCGUGUGCGGUGUUUGAUUUUUUUUUUUUUUUUUUUUUUUUUUGGGGUUGUUUUAGCUAAAUUUGACCUCGGGCUUGGACGUACGCCAGCGGCGACUUCUCUAUAUGAUUCUGGACAGUGUUCAUCAUGUUGGUGGAGCUUCAGAGAUCAAUCUCGGCAGCGGAGUUUCCGUUGUUUGGCUGGUUAUGACAACAAAGGAGUGGGAACGGUGAAGGAGUAGCGACUUUGAGGAGGCAGUUGGACUUAUGUCGGAGGAAUUGUCGGUAUUGAAGCAUGAUAUAGCUCUGCUUCUGUAUAUAUAAGAAGAGCAAACCAUGCAGUUUUAGUACCUAUCGCGCCACAUGUGUUAGAAGUAUUCUCAAAAUUGUGGUCGAUUUUUCGCAUUCGCCGAUGAAGUUUUUCCUGUCGUUGAACUUCAAGAGAACGAAGAAGAAUGCGGAUUGUGAUGAGAUGUUUUCUCCACAGGCAACGCUACGACCUCGAGUCGGCACCAGCAUUAAACAGGAGGGCUAUUCACUUCCUGUUGACAUUACUGUGCCGCCGCUGCACACAAUGCCCCCACUGAAACAACCUACUAUUCGAAGCGAAUUUCGUCCUUCGAGAACACAGUCUCCUGCCGAAAUAGAUGCAUCAGCGAAUGAUGUUCUGCUCAGCCCGAAAAUGGUGAAGAACGCGGUGUCUUACUUGGAUACGAAGAACAAGGCUUUGCAGAGUUGCUCAUGUCAGCCGUCAGAUUCAGACUUAUUCAAUCGAAGAACUAUCGGAUCACCAUACAGAGAUCUACUCCCUGCUCAUGUCCACACACCCUCCUUGUCAAACAAAACGGGUAGUCCAAGGUCGAACCCGACCGGCAGCCCAGCAAAUCGUACCAUCGCAGACGGCAUCCGAGCUCUAGAGUAUCCCACGUCGGACCUGAGUACGUGUCGCAACUAUUACGACUGCGAUGACGAAACUGAGUGCUCCCCAUCCACCCUUCCGUUGAGUCCGAGCACUUCAGAAACGGCUGAUAAUUUAAGCACCGGAAAACCUUGCUCUUCUGAUGUUUCGAUGCGCUCGAAUCCUCAGAGAAGCCCGCGAAGCCAUUCUGGGAGCAGCCAUGGAAAGUCUCGCGGCCCUCGUCAUGAAGGUUCUCCCAAGCCAUGCAAGCUUCCAUCGCCGCCGAAGCCCUCGUCGUGCACACAAACCUCAAAUUCAUCUGGCAAAAAAUCUCAAAUAUACUCAUCAAAGUCUGCAACAACAUUCCAGGAGUUGACUUCUAUACGAAGUUCACUGUUACCACGAAAACUUCAUGCAGAACCACCUCCUCGCACGUCCGGGUUGACCCCGCCAACAUCACACAAUGCACCCAUCGGCACCAUCAUCCCCAUCGUAUCUGCACAGGCUCACUCCGCCAUCCUCACCUCGCACGCUCAAGCUUAAUCCAGUGGUGAAUUCCAACAAUCUCGACGUUCCGGACAUUCUUCAUUCCCAAGCACGAUCCACCUUUUCUGCCUCUCCGCAUCGAGUUUCGAUUGGCAAUCCUCCCCGUCUGUGCCGCUCACUUCACCCAGCGCCACAGCAACCUCAGAGGUGGAAGAGGGGUGCCCAAAUCGGCAGUGGCUCGUUCGGUUCCGUCUACGAAGGGUGGAAUCUGGACGAUGGCACAUUCUUCGCUGUCAAAGUCAGCGGCAGUGACAAUAACCCUCCUGAGAUAACACCAGGAGGUGGCCGUGAUGAGUAAACUGAGACAUCCCAACAUCGUCCAGUACUACGGCACCACGACGGUGCAGAGCUCUCAACUUGCCUCGGAUGUCGAGAUUGAGAUUGGAAACGGCUGCAUUUGUUUUUCGCUUUCCACGGACGUGUUGUGUGGAGUUGGUGUGAAGUGAAUGCAUGAAUUCGUCCACGGACUCAAGGUUAGGAGCAAUCAUUUCCUCGGAUGUUUGCCCCGCUCACCAGCUGAUCGUCAUUGUGGUGACCAUUUCAGGAGAAUGGGAGCAUCUGCAUAUUUCUGGAACUUGUGAAAAUGGGGUCUCUCCA